UACGUAGGCAGCGAGCGUUGUUCGGAAUUACUGGGCGUAAAGAGUGUGUAGGUGGUGCUCUAAGUCUGGUGUGAAAUCUCCUGGCUUAACUGGGAGGGUGCGCCGGAAACUGGGGUGCUCGAGUAUGGGAGAGGUAAGCGGAAUUCCUGGUGUAGCGGUGAAAUGCGUAGAUAUCAGGAGGAACACCUGUGGUGUAGACAGCUUACUGGACCAUCACUGACACUGAGACACGAAAGCGUGGGUAGCAAACAGG
rnacentral:rRNA from 1 species